rnacentral:rRNA from 1 species
UACGAAGGGGGCUAGCGUUGCUCGGAAUCACUGGGCGUAAAGGGUGCGUAGGCGGGUUCUUAAGUCAGAGGUGAAAUCCUGGAGCUCAACUCCAGAACUGCCUUUGAUACUGGCGAUCUUGAGUCCGGGAGAGGUGAGUGGAACUGCGAGUGUAGAGGUGAAAUUCGUAGAUAUUCGCAAGAACACCAGUGGCGAAGGCGGCUCACUGGCCCGGUACUGACGCUGAGGUGCGAAAGCGUGGGGAGCAAACAGG